GCAGGUUGCCCUGACACUCGCCGGUCUACCUCAGGUUAUUGUGUCUUCCUUGGCAAUAACCUGGUGUCGUGGUCUGCUAAGCGGCAGCACACGGUCUCUCGGUCUAGCGCCGAGGCCGAAUACAGGGCAGCUGCAAAUGUCGUGGCUGAAACAUGUUGGUUACGGCAACUUCUUCAGGAGCUUCAUCGACCAGUGACUGGUGCCACUGUGGUGUUUUGUGAUAAUGUGAGCUCCUUUUACAUGACACAGAAUCCCGUUCAUCAUCAGUGCACCAAGCAUGUGGAGAUCGAUUUGCACUUUGUGCGCGACCGUGUCACCACAGGCGAGGUCCGGGUUCUUCACGUUCCGAGUUCUUCUCAAUUUGCGGACAUUUUCACCAAAGGAUUGCCAUCCCCUCUCUUCUUGGAUUUUCGGGACAGUCUUAACAUUCGUCGACGCCCGUUUACGACUAAGGGAGGGUGUUAG
rnacentral:rRNA from 1 species